CAGCAGCCGCGGGAAAACGGAGGGUGCAAGCGUUAUCCGGAUUUAUUGGGUUUAAAGGGUCCGUAGGCGGAUCUGUAAGUCAGUGGUGAAAUCUCACAGCUUAACUGUGAAACUGCCAUUGAUACUGCAGGUCUUGAGUAAAUUUGAAGUGGCUGGAAUAAGUAGUGUAGCGGUGAAAUGCAUAGAUAUUACUUAGAACACCAAUUGCGAAGGCAGGUCACUAAGAUUUAACUGACGCUGAUGGACGAAAGCGUGGGGAGCGAACAGGAUUAGAGACCCGAGUAGUCCCUGUCUCUUAUAC
rnacentral:rRNA from 1 species